rnacentral:rRNA from 1 species
AUACGGAGGGUGCAAGCGUUAUCCGGAUUUAUUGGGUUUAAAGGGUGCGUAGGCGGUUUGAUAAGUCAGCGGUGAAAUAUUUCAGCUUAACUGGAAGGGUGCCGUUGAUACUGUCGAGCUUGAAUUUAGUUGCUGUGGGCGGAAUGUGUGGUGUAGCGGUGAAAUGCAUAGAUAUCACACAGAAUAGCGAUUGCGAAGGCAGCUCACAAAGCUAAUAUUGACGCUGAUGCACGAAAGUGUGGGGAUCAAACAGGAUUAGAUACCCUGGUAGUCCACACUGUAAACGAUGAUAACUCGCUGUCGGCGAUACAUAGUCGGUGGCCAAGCGAAAGCGAUAAGUUAUCCACCUGGGGAGUACGACCGCAAGGUUGAAACUCAAAGGAAUUGACGGGG